CGAACGGGUGAGUAACACGUGGGCAAUCUGCCCUUCACUCUGGGACAAGCCCUGGAAAUGGGGUCUAAUACCGGAUAACACUCUGUCCUGCAUGGGACGGGGUUGAAAGCUCCGGCGGUGAAGGAUGAGCCCGCGGCCUAUCAGCUUGUUGGUGGGGUAAUGGCCUACCAAGGCGACGACGGGUAGCCGGCCUGAGAGGGCGACCUGCCACACUGGGACUGAUACACGGCCCAG
rnacentral:rRNA from 1 species